AAAAAGACAAAUCCUGGGUUUCCAUAUCCAACUUUGACUAUCCGUCUUAUAUAAAAUUUUUUAUAAUUCAUAUUUUUAUUGUUGUUAGAUGAUAAAACAUGAUUAAUAUUUUAUGUGUGACUUGUAUUUUUAAUUUUUUUUAUAAUUUUUUUAAAUAAGACGGACGGUCAGGGUUUGUC
rnacentral:pre_miRNA from 1 species